UUUUAAAAGAGAAGGGAAAAGUGUAAUAUGAAUAGUGGAGAAAGAAAGCAAUUUUAACUGACAAAACCCACAAAGCAUUAGAGAGUAUUGGCAUUUGGGCUGACUCUUUAAAGAUGAAUAGAUUUUAACAGUGGGAGAUGAUAGAGUGGUUAUUACAAUAAAAGCAGCAAAAUCAAAGUGUAAAUUCAGUAAAGCACAAGGUUACCAACACAUAUCAAGCCCUCUUCAGUGUAUGUACAUCCUCCCACCACCUCCAUAUUUUCAGGUAAGAAGUCAGAUAGAUUCUGUCUCACUGAAGAUUACAUCUUUCUCCUCGUCCAUCCUCCAGCCAGUCCAACAUUGUCUUUACCUUCUACUGGCUUUUUGGUUUGCAUUUUCUGAGGCUGGUUUUCUGCCAUUCCAUCAGUUCUAUAAUUUAAACAAUCUGAUUCCAGUAAGUUCCCUCUUUUUGUUAUUCCUGCUUCAAUAAACCAGUGAAAGUCUCUAUAUAGGAUCUAAAAUUUAUUUUUUAUUUAUUUUUAACUAAUACAUAAUAAUUGUACAUAUUCAUGAGGUACGUAGUGAUGUUUUGAUACAUACAAUGCACGGUGAUCAGAGAGUGCUAAUUAGCAUAUCCAUCAUCUCACACAUUUAUCAUUUCUUUGUUUUGGGAACAUUCAAUACUCUCUCUUCUAGCUAUUUGAAAAUAUAUGUUAUUGUUAACUAUAGUCAUCCUACAGUGCUAUAGUUUAAACGAUUCUGAUACAGCUAUUGUGUCAGAUUGUAUUUCUAAUAUGGCCACAAAAAGAUCUCCCAUUCAACAUUUUCUUUUUAUAAUAUGACCCUGCCUCCAUCCAGACAUGGCAUCUACAUUCCCUUUUCUUGAAGUGGGCCUGUGGCUAAGCCAAAACUAGCAGUAUGUGACUUCAGAGGCUGGCUUCCUCCUAGGAACAUUGGGAUGCUCAUUCUUGGAACCCAAUAAUCAUGCCAUGAGAAAGCAGGCCACACAGAGACAGGGAGGCCAUGAGUAGUAGGUGUUACCACAAAUAGCUGGAGCUAAGGUCCCAGCCCCAGCCACCAUCUGACUGCCACCACAAGACCAGUCUCAAAUGAGAACUGCCUAACUGGGCCUAAUCAAUGCCAGAACCAUAAGACGUAAUCAUAAGCUGACUGUUGUUUUAAGUCAUAAUACCUUUGAAUUAUUUGUUUCAUAACAGUAGAUAUUUAAGAAAGAUUCUGGCACCUGGAAGUGGGCACUGCCAUGACAAAAUCCUGAGACAUGUAGUAUUAUCUUUAGGAACAGGUAGUGAGCAGAAAGUGGGAGAACAUUGAAGAGACUGUUAGUAGAAACUUAGCCUCCAGCAAAGUGUUAGUGGAAGCCCAGAGGGCUGAAGGAGGCUGUCAGUCAGGGCUCAAGCAAAGUACAGGAAAUGCAAUUGGCAACACUGUCACCCUUAGUAAUGUGAAAAAUUGAAAAUGUACUUAAUGAAUGUGAAGAUCUACUUAAGAAGAUUUUAGGCAGAAUAUUGAAAUUGCCACCUGGCUUCUCACUGCCUAUGAUAAAAGGCAGGAGGAAAAAGAUGGGCUAAAGAAUAUACUGUUAAAUAUAGAAGAUCCAAGACUUGUUGGAUUUGAAAAUAAAACUAUUUCUUGUUCUCAACCUCUUACAACAGCAAAGGAUUCCAAAAUUAAAAGUCGCUUCUGGGCAUAGAUGAAAUCCAGUGCAGUGUCGGGAAAACGUGGUCUACAAAUGAAACAUAGGGCAUGACCUGGAGUGCAGUGGCAUGAUCAAGACUCACUGAAGCCUCAACCUCCCAGGCUCAAGUGAUCCUCUCACCCCAACCUCCUGAAUAGCUGGGACUACAGGCAUG
rnacentral:lncRNA from 1 species